rnacentral:lncRNA from 13 species
AUGUUGCAGCCACCGGGGUCGUGUUCAAAAGGGCACAACGGAAUAAAAGGGAACCAUUGUUUCUUGUUACACGUUCAGACCAGUUUUGGGUUGUUUUCGUACAUUUUGCUCCUACUGAACACAGCCCUAAAUGAAGCCUCUGAUGUUUCUCCACCUGGUUCCUUUGUCUCUGUCUGUAGGGUGUUGAUGCCACCUCCUCUCCCUGUGUUUCUGGCCCCUGGCCCUGUGGCACGAAAGAGACCCAGGGAGACAGCAGUACCAGAGGUCGCACCCAGUCUACCACCCAGAACCCUCGGCCCUGUGGCACACAAGAGACCCAGGGAGACGGCAGUACCAGAGGUCCCACCCAGUCUACCACCCAGCACCCUCGGCCCUGUGGCACACAAGAGACCCAGGGAGACGGCAGUACCAGAGGUCCCACCCAGUCUACCACCUAGCGCCCCUGCAUCACAGGAUUGUCCUCAGGAGGUGAAGAAGACUAAGGUAGUGGAGAAGCCUUCGUGCCUAGUACCCUACGGUGGGGACUCUUCUGAUGAGGGAGAGGACUCCUAGCAGUAAGACUCUAACUCAUAUGCCCACUACCCUUCACUAAUCCUAUCAGCCCCCCACCCUACAGUGUCCUCAUUCCACUUAGAUGCUGGGUUGCAGUGUUCAGCCCAAGUCUAGCUUUGCUCUGCUAUUACCGUCAUCGACUACUGGACAUUGGACAGAGCGUCACAUUGCUACGGCCCUGCCCCCUACCCCAAAAUAAAGCUACUUUGUUAUUAUAAUUAUUAAACCGUUUUCAUUUGGAAAGGUCAUUUUUAUUUCAAUUCUGAAAAAGCAUAUGUAGUUGUCCAUCCACGACCGAGCCUGCUCUACGACCGAGCCUGCAGUACACAAAUUCACUGAUUUUAUUACUGUUAUAUUGUGUAUAAUGGAAAAUGGUGUGAAUCUGUUCCCAUGGAAUACAUUAAUAAAUGGAUUUGGAAACAACAUUCAUCUUGUUUCAUGUUGUGGUAGUCCAGUCCAGGGUUUCAUCAUGUUAGUCUGUAACAGUGUUGUGGUAGUCCAGUCCAGGGUUUCAUCAUGUUAGUCUGUAACAGUGUUGUGGUAGUCCAGUCCAGGGUUUCAUCAUCAGUCUGUAACAGUGUUGUGGUAGUCCAGUCCAGGGUUUCAUCAUGUUAGUCUGUAACAGUGGUAGUCCAGUCCAGGGUUUCAUCAUGUUAGUCUGUAACAGUGUUGUGGUAGUC